AUUCCCAUGCUGCUCCCCCUUCCCUGCCUUCCACCUAUCAUGAUCUCUCAUUGUUUUCCAGCCUCAUUUUUCCUUCUACGUCCUCCUAGAACUUCUCACAUUUUUUUUUAUUGUUUCUAACAUCUAUUUGAUUCUGAUCUUUGCUGUUUCAAUGCUGGGUGUCUUUAUUUUUCUGAUCUGUUUCUAAUUGAUCCAACUAAAGCUUCAUCUAAUAUGAAUUCUGUUCCUAUUUGAUAACUGUCUUUCUUUUUAACUCAUAGAUGAUGCUAGUUUCCUACAUUUUUUUCUCAUUCUUAUAGUAAAUCUUUUUCAGAUAUCUGCUCUUCUUUUGUGUCUUCCGAAUGCUGUUCUAGUUCUCUUGUUUGGACAUGUGUAUAUGUGUGUUUCUGUUUAAAUAAGAAAUCUGUCCAAACCCAGCAUCCAGAAGACAGGAUGUAUGCAUUAACUUUGGCUCUUUUUUUUGUGCAGUUGGGUCCUGGUCAAAUUUCUUUUUCAGCUCACCAUGUGGAUGGCAUAAGAAUGUGCAUGAAGUUCUAGGCUAAUUGUCCCUCACUAAUUCACGUAACUCUCUUGAAUGCCAUGGGGUCUUCUCAACUUAUUGUUUAGCUCUCAGCCUUUAAACAAAUGGAUCAUGUAAGAAAAUACACUGCAAUUCCUCCUAUUUUCUACUUUCAUUUCAUUAACCAUCAUCAUCUUCUUUCAUGUCCCCCCUCCACUCACCCCCUCCCAACACACACAAACCUCCCUUUUCUCUUAUGUCAAAUAAUUUCCUAGUUUUACUCUUGAAGCAGAAAGAAAGAUAGAAGGAUUAAGGCACGCUGUGAACACCUGGGCAACUGCUGAGUUUUCUGAUGGAUAAAGACUUCAGUUGUAUGAUGGACUGAAGUACAGACUGUGGAAGGAGUUCCUCAUUACAUUAGAACGGGUGACAAGGUGGACAUCUCCGAUGACAAGGUGGAGAUAGCUCUGAUUGGCCAAAGCCACGAAAAACCUCCAUCCCUUUUCUGACAGUGUCAUGGAAGAUGAAAAACUCAAGCCCCGACCUUGCCCUGGCAGCACACGGAGCUGACAGUGAGGACGAUGUGCUUUUUAUGAGAGUCUGGAGCUGCUUUGUGGGCCUUGUUUGAAGUGUCAGGGGAGAGCCUGGGAACAGCUUUCAGAACUACCUAAGGAGAUGCAACUCCUUUUCAGCAGAAAACUCAAAAGAAAAGCAGGACUUUUUUAAAAUUGCCAAGAUUUAAAAUUAGGAUAAAAAGUCUCAAUGAAUACAAAAAUGUAAAAUAAAUAAUGGAUUUAGGAAGCAAGACCAAGUCCAUAGAAUUCUGAUUAAAUGCUUGAUGGAACACCAGAG